rnacentral:rRNA from 1 species
AUACGGAGGAUCCGAGCGUUAUCCGGAUUUAUUGGGUUUAAAGGGUGCGCAGGCGGGAGAUUAAGUCGGCGGUGAAAUUUUGCAGCUCAACUGUAAAAGUGCCUUCGAAACUGGUUUCCUUGAGUGUAGAUGAAGUAGGCGGAAUUUGUGGUGUAGCGGUGAAAUGCAUAGAUAUCACGAGGAACUCCGAUUGCGCAGGCAGCUUACUAAACUACUACUGACGCUCAGGCACGAAGGCGUGGGGAUCAAACAGGAUUAGAUACCCUGGUAGUCCACGCAGUAAACGAUGAUUACUAGCUGUUUGCGAUACAAUGUAAGCGGCUGAGCGAAAGCGUUAAGUAAUCCACCUGGGGAGUACGUUCGCAGGAAUGAAACUCAAAUGAAUUGACGGG